rnacentral:rRNA from 1 species
GAUGAACGCUGGCGGCGUGCCUAAUACAUGCAAGUCGAGCGAACGGACGAGAAGCUUGCUUCUCUGAUGUUAGCGGCGGACGGGUGAGUAACACGUGGAUAACCUACCUAUAAGACUGGGAUAACUUCGGGAAACCGUAGCUAAUACCGGAUAAUAUUUUAAACCGCAUGGUUCAAAAGUGAAAGACGGUCUUGCUGUCACUUAUAGAUGGAUCCGCGCUGCAUUAGCUAGUUGGUAAGGUAACGGCUUACCAAGGCAACGAUGCAUAGCCGACCUGAGAGGGUGAUCGGCCACACUGGAACUGAGACACGGUCCAGACUCCUACGGGAGGCAGCAGUAGGGAAUCUUCCGCAAUGGGCGAAAGCCUGACGGAGCAACGCCGCGUGAGUGAUGAAGGUCUUCGGAUCGUAAACCUCUGUUAUUAGGGAAGAACAUAUGUGUAAGUAACUGUGCACAUCUUGACGGUACCUAAUCAGAAAGCCACGGCUAACUACGUG